rnacentral:lncRNA from 1 species
AAAUCCAAGGCAUGUAAUAAUUAAGAGAUAUGAGAGGAAAAAAUUUGUUUGGCGCAAACACAUCUCAUGUGUCAUCCCUUAGUUUCCCAUGAAGAUUAAAAUCUUCUAUAUGGAAAGUAAUGGGUGUGGAAGAGCCUUCAGGCAGAAGAACUCCUCCACUUCUGCACCAACAAAUCUCCAAAAGCCAUAACAUGGUGCAUGGAGUAAAAAGAAUGCGAGAAAUAAAAGGAAG